rnacentral:rRNA from 1 species
CCUACGGGUGGCUGCAGUGGGGAAUAUUGGACAAUGUGCGAAAGCCUGAUCCAGCCAUGCCGCGUGUGUGAAGAAGGCCUUCGGGUUGUAAAGCACUUUCAGUGGGGAAGAAAGCCUUGGGGCUAAUACCCUCGAGGAAGGACAUCACCCACAGAAGAAGCACCGGCUAACUCCGUGCCAGCAGCCGCGGUAAUACGGAGGGUGCGAGCGUUAAUCGGAAUUACUGGGCGUAAAGCGCGCGUAGGCGGUCUGAUAAGCCGGUUGUGAAAGCCCCGGGCUCAACCUGGGAACGGCAUCCGGAACUGUCAGGCUAGAGUGCAGGAGAGGAAGGUAGAAGUCCCGGUGUAGCGGUGAAAUGCGUAGAGAGCGGGAGGAAUACCAGUGGCGAAGGCGGCCUUCUGGACUGACACUGACGCUGAGGUGCGAAAGCGUGGGUAGCAAACAGGAUUAGAUACCCGAGUAGUC